GCUUGCUCUGGUGCUAGGGUCAGCUAGACAGGUCGGCAGGGGAGACCAGCUGCUCUAGAAGAGCCUGGACAGGAUGAAUUGGUUCUCCUUCCACAUGCAUCUUGCAUCCCUCUAGCCAAGGAUUUGAACCCAGGUCUCGUCUGACUCCAAAUGCACCAAGAGGAUGGAGCCCAGAGUGACACAGAGGAAGAGGCCCCUGGAUGGAUGCAUGGGGAAGAUCACGGGAAUUACAAGUGACAUACUGAAGUAUGAUCACAAAUGUUUCAAAUUAAGCCUUCCUGCUAAGUUUCCAGAGGUGUGUGGCUUGGAUGAAGUGUUUCCAGACCCCGAUCUACUGCAUGUCCUGCCUGUUGCUGGUUCUUUGCAGCAGUCCAUUGACCAAUGCUGUCUACAGCUUGAGAGCCUCUGCAGGCCAGGGCUGCUCUGUGCACAUCCUACGUUACUAUUCAAACUGCACAGCAGCAUGAAAAACAGGCCCUUCUUUUCUCUCAUUUACACGUAUGUGAAGAAGACACAACAAGUGAGAAAACGUGACCGAAAGCCAUGUGGACAGGUGGCCGCAGGGCCAAACCCAACUUCCAUGAUGUGAUCUGGCUACAGUUUGGAGCCCACAUAUUUCAAUAGUUAUCCCCAGGCCUGGCACGUCAAAGAGGCUCCAGAAAUGUUUGCUGAGUGAGUGAUGAAUCAGCAAUUUCUGAUUUUCUCCUAAACUUAGAGAAUAAGUGGCUUGUCUGCAGUCACCCAGGGCGUCCCUGACAGAGGUACAAGUAAAGCCCAGAUCUCUGCAUCUCUGGUUCAGGGCCUUUUGUACUACACACCCCUGUCUCUUUGUCAUCAUUAAAAGCAAGGCUCAAGGGACAUGUUUUCUAGCCUUAGUUCCCCAUCUACAAAAUGGGCCUCAUGGAAUGGAAUGUCUCCACUUCACUCCAGCAUCAACAAGUGGGGAAUUCUGAUGGAUUCAAUUCGACUUCUUUCCAUGGGCGUGUUCUAAGCAGCCUCUUUGUUCCAGAAGCUGCCCUCAGCCAGAGUUGGAUAAGCCAAUCCUCACUCCCCAGCCUCCUCUGGAUAGGGAUGAAGACCCCACUGGGGUUGGAAGUGCAGAGGCAGACAGGUGUAUGGAGUCACCUGUAAAUUGAUUCAAGUGAGCCAGGAAAGCAGCAAAGGAAAGAGAAACCUGAGUGACGACGUGGUGGAGGAACAGGGCUGGAAAGAGGCUGCUGGCUGUCUGGCUUCGCAGCUCUGGCCUCCUAAUCAGCCUCGCUCUUGUCUCUGGUGUUCUCUGGCUCUUGUCCAUCUGUCUGUGUUUCUUUUUGCCAGCUAUUGACUAAUCUUUGCUGGAGCUGAGCUAGAAUUCUGGUGUUUAUAAGCAGGUAACUAGCUAAGCACUAGUUGAUAACUUUGGAGUUAGUGGAUAACCACAGGGCUGGGCUACUAAGCUUUUUCAGUUGAAAAAUAAAUAAAUAAAUAAACACCACACCCAGCUAAUUUUUGUAUUUUUAGUAGAGACAGGGUUUCACCGUGUUAGCCAGGAUGGACUCCAUCUCCUGACCUCGUGAUCCGCCUACCUCGGCCUCCCAAAGUGCUGGGAUUACAGGCGUGAGCCACCACGCCCGGUCACCUUUGUCCUGUUUUCUACAGGUUAGAAGCAAGGCACAAGUCAUACCUACAUUCAAGGAGAGGGGACCAUGCAAAGGAUAAACUGCAGGUGAAGAACUUGAGAGCUAUUUUAGAAGCUGCCUUCCACACUUUACAACCUACUUUGCAGCUAUACUGAGCUCUUAGCAACUCCCUGGGCCUGCUGAGCACCUCUUGCCUUUCUGCCUUUGCGUAUGCUGUUCUCUCUGCCUGGAAUUCCAUGUCUUCUGCCUUUGCCCACCUCAUCUUAAGGCCUCUGCUUAGAUGCAAUUUCUUUGGGCUCUUAUUAGCAGCAUCCAAAUCUGUGCUGGUUUCUUCUCAUGCUUACUCUGCAUCAUAAUUUUUCUGUUUACUUGUUAAUCCCCUCCCACUCCUGCCAGUACCUAAAGUAAAAUCUACACAGGGCUUGGCAUAUUGUGGAUGCUCAAUGAAGAUUUGUUAAAUGAGUGAAUGAUUAAAUGAAAUAAGCCCCAGCUUGGAACCCAGAGCUGUAAUUUCCGGUUCUGGUCCCUGUCCCCUGCCCACGGGCUGUCUAAGGGCUCAUCUCUCCCAGGAGCCCCUGUAUCAUCUCAGUAACUAGACCAGUACCAUAUCCGACUUCCCCUGACUUUGAAAUAAUUUUCACCUGCAAUCAGGUGCGCUUCCCUAGAACCUCUCUCGCUGUUCUUUGCCUUUCUCCUUCCCCCGCCUUGUAUCUCCGUGGUCCUGCCAAAAAUCAGAAGCUCAUUAUUAAACCAGAAGCUGCCUUACAUUAUCCCAGAGACUACAGACAGAAAAUAUUUGCUUCUAUCUCAACUGAGGACUGACAUAGUAAAGACUCCUUGAGAUGUUAGCUGUCAAGGAGGGGAAUAAAAGUUUUUCAUCUGCA
rnacentral:sRNA from 1 species